AACGCAUAUUGCGCCCUUUGGCAUUCCGAAGGGCAUGCCUGUUCGAGCGUCAUUACACCCCUCAGACUUCACUGUUUGAUGUUGGGUACUGCCUAGGGGCAUACCUAAAAGUCAGCGACGGUUUCAGCCAACCUCAGACGUACAAGUAUCGUUAUAGUGGAAGGUUGGGGCCAGUCUUUAACUAAACUUCUAAAUGUUGACCUCGGAUCAGGUAGGAAUACCCGCUGAACUUAA
rnacentral:misc_RNA from 1 species